UCUCCGUAGGUGAACCUGCGGAGGGAUCAUUACAGAGUUCAUGCCCUACCGGGUAGAUCUCCCACCCUAUGUUAUUAUUACUUUGUUGCUUUGGCGGGCCGUUAGGCUCCGGCCCGACUACCGGCCCCGGCUGGUAAGCGCCCGCCGGAGGACCCAAAACCCUGAAUAUUAGUGUCGUCUGAGUACUAUAUAAUAGUUAAAACUUUCAACAACGGAUCUCUUGGUUCUGGCAUCGAUGAAGACGCAGC
rnacentral:misc_RNA from 1 species